rnacentral:rRNA from 1 species
AUGCUGAAGCUCAUGUUCGAGGGACACACCCGCGUCAAGCAAGCCAAUCUCCAAACUCUUCUAAGGAACUAUGAGACUUUGGUCAUGGGCGACGAUGAGUCUGUGGAUGCGUUCGCUUCACGGGUGGCUACUCUCGUCAAUCGGAUUUGCGCGCUUGGAGAAAACCUCACAGAGGCCUCGGUUGUCCGGCGGUUCUUGCGCGCGGCCCCUCCCCGGUACCUGCAAAUUGUCACGGCGAUCGAGCAGUGUGUCGAUCUCGAGACCCUCUCCAUUGAUGAUCUCGUCGGACGCUACAAGGCUCACGACAAGCGUAUGCGGUACAGUCUUGGGGACGGGACGAACGACGAGCUUGUGAUGCUCACAAAGGCGCAGUGGAUCGCCCUCGAAAAGCAAGGCGGAUCCACGAGCAACAGCAAGAAGAAGGGAAAGCAGCGUUUGGCGAGAAAGAACUUCGCCGACUCGGACGAUGAGGCUGCACCACCACCGAGGAGAAAGUUUGACAUCAGGAAAGUGAGAUGUUAUAACUGUGGCCUCCUCGGCCACUUCAAGGCUGACUGCGAGAAAGCACCGAAGCAGAAGGCGCUCAUUGCCCAUCAAGGAGAUGAUGGUGAUAUGAUGUUGAUGAGUGAACUCGUGGAUGAGGAGGAUCCAAUUCUUCGAGUGCCGGCUAAAGAAACUGAUGCGCUUGUGGAAGAAAAAGUUCGCUAUCAUGAUCAUGGUUCAGAAACUCAUGUUAAUGCUACAGAUGCGGGGAGUGAUCCCGAAACUUACGACAAUACUACAAGCGUAAGAGCUAUCUUUGCUGGAGCGAAAGAAGCGAUAGCUGUGUGUGCUCGACCAUGGAGAAGUAGUCUCUGUGUUGCUCAACUGAAGAAGAGGUCCGUAGGUGACCGGAAGAGGGAUACAAAAGUUUUGACUCCAGACAAAGUCGUGGCGUCAGAAGACCACGACACCAGCCAGACAGGUGAGGUUCUGCCAGGAGGCAACGACGCGCGACGGUUGCUCGGACCAGGAGAGCGUUGGGCCUACAUAACGCUAGAAACGGCAAGGAGCAACGUUGCGUCCAUGGUGUCAGGUAGCCUGGUGAGCACGGGCAUCGUGUCAGAUGCCAUGACACGGGACGCGGCAGCAAAGCCCGCUACAUUCCACACGUCAGGAAGGAGCAUUGCCCUCUCAGUGAGCGCGCUUGGCAGCCUAGUUGCUGGAGCUGAAGACGGCAACACAACCACGACCCAAGGUAGAAGCAGUACGUACAAGGAAUGUACAAUAGCUCUAUAA